UGCUGUAAUGGGAAUUUGAGCCACUGG
rnacentral:piRNA from 1 species